UCUUGGUCAUUUAGAGGAAGUAAAAGUCGUAACAAGGUCUCCGUAGGUGAACCUGCGGAGGGAUCAUUACAGAGUUCAUGCCCUUCCGGGUAGAUCUCCCACCCUGUGCUAUCGUUACCCUUGUUGCUUUGGCGGGCCGUCCGGCCUCGGUCAGGCUACCGGCUCCGGCUGGUAAGCGCCCGCCAGAGGACCCAAAACCCUGAAUGUUAGUGUCGUCUGAGUACUAUAUAAUAGUUAAAACUUUCAACAACGGAUCUCUUGGUUCUGGCAUCGAUGAAGAACGCAGCGAAAUGCGAUAAGUAAUGUGAAUUGCAGAAUUCAGUGAAUCAUCGAAUCUUUGAACGCACAUUGCGCCCCUUGGUAUUCCGAGGGGCAUGCCUGUUCGAGCGUCAUUACAACCCUCAAGCUCUGCUUGGUGUUGGGCUCCGCCGCUCACCCGGCGGGCUCUAAAAUCAGUGGCGGUGCCGUCAGGCUCUGAGCGUAGUAAAUCUCCUCGCUAUAGAGCCCUGGCGGAGCGCUGGCCAGCAACCC
rnacentral:rRNA from 1 species